rnacentral:rRNA from 1 species
UACGUAGGGUCCGAGCGUUGUCCGGAAUUACUGGGCGUAAAGAGCUUGUAGGUGGUUUGUCGCGUUGUUCGUGAAAACUCACAGCUCAACUGUGGGCGUGCGGGCGAUACGGGCAGACUAGAGUGCUGUAGGGGAGACUGGAAUUCCUGGUGUAGCGGUGAAAUGCGCAGAUAUCAGGAGGAACACCGGUGGCGAAGGCGGGUCUCUGGGCAGUAACUGACGCUGAGGAGCGAAAGCGUGGGGAGCGAACAGG